rnacentral:rRNA from 1 species
GACGAACGCUGGCGGCGUGCUUAACACAUGCAAGUCGAACGGAAAGGCCCUGCUUGCAGGGUACUCGAGUGGCGAACGGGUGAGUAACACGUGGGUGAUCUGCCCUGCACUUCGGGAUAAGCCUGGGAAACUGGGUCUAAUACCGGAUAGGAGCCAUUUUUAGUGUGAUGGUUGGAAAGUUUUUUCGGUGUAGGAUGAGCUCGCGGCCUAUCAGCUUGUUGGUGGGGUAAUGGCCUACCAAGGCGGCGACGGGUAGCCGGCCUGAGAGGGUGGACGGCCACAUUGGGACUGAGAUGCGGCCCAGACUCCUACGGGAGGCAGCAGUGGGGAAUAUUGCACAAUGGGCGCAAGCCUGAUGCAGCGACGCCGCGUGGGGGAUGACGGCCUUCGGGUUGUAAACUCCUUUCGCUAGGGACGAAGCUUUUUGUGGCGGUACCUAGAUAAGAAGCACCGGCUAACUACGUG